GCGUAAUCAUGCGUAAAACUGGAAUUUUACUUGCGCUCGGCUACGCCACGUCAUUGUAAACUUACGCUCGUAUAAACAGACUGUUUCACUCCUAGGUACAUAAUAUACUAUUACACAGAAAAACCCCUAUCCUAAAAAGUACACUGAUUUGGAGUUGUUUUGAUUUGCAACAAAUACGAGACAGCAGAGAAUGGGAGAGUAGCUACGUUCAUCAUAGCUUCACACUUGAAAUAUUCUCGUUUUGAGAAAAUACACAUUAUUUCGAGUGUAUGAAAUAACUAGAAAACCUCUUACAUCAAGAUCCCUGGAACCGAAAAGCAAAUAAUAUAUGAUGACACCUCCGCAAAAAAUUUUCGAUCUUCCGAUACUCCGCCUUUUAAAAGACUGGCUUGAAAUCACUUCAUAGACACAGCAACUUAGAAACGGUAUACCUAUCCCAAACUGCAAAACCCCUUACAUAAAGAUCCCUGGAUCCGAAAUGCUGUUAAUAUAUGAUGUCACCGCCACACAAGAUUUCCCAACUUCUGUUACUCAGCCUGUCAAAAUACUUUGGUUUGCAUUUCUUCGUAGAUUCAGCAAAUCAGAAACGUUACACAUAUGACAAACUGCAAAACAUCUUAUAUCAAGGUCUUUGGAUCCGGAAUGCAAUUAAUAUAUGAUGACAACACGCCAAAAUUACGAUCUUCUGCUACUCAAUCUUUCAAAAUAGUGGUUUAAAAUUUGUAACGCAGGCAUGAUUUAUAUUCUUUAUCAGCUACUUUUUAGUUCUGAAAGUAAC